rnacentral:rRNA from 1 species
UUGAGCAUCAAACUUUUAAAUUGAAGAGUUUGAUCAUGGCUCAGAUUGAACGCUGGCGGCAGGCCUAACACAUGCAAGUCGAACGGUAACAGGAAGCAGCUUGCUGCUUCGCUGACGAGUGGCGGACGGGUGAGUAAUG